UGGGGAAUUUUGCACAAUGGGGGAAACCCUGAUGCAGCGACGCCGCGUGAUUUAGAAGGCCUUCGGGUUGUAAAAAUCUUUUCUAUGGGAAGAAAAUGACAGUACCAUAGGAAUAAGGACCGGCUAAUUACGUGCUAGCAGCCGCGGUAAUACGUAAGGUCCGAGCGUUGUCCGGAAUCAUUGGGCGUAAAGGGUACGUAGGCGGGUAAGCAAGUUAGAAGUGAAAUCCUAUAGCUCAACUAUAGUAAGCUUUUAAAACUGCUCAUCUUGAGGUAUGGAAGGGAAAGUGGAAGUCCUAGUGUAGCGGUGAAAUGCGCAGAUAUUAGGAGGAAUACCGGUGGCGAAGGCGAGUUUCUGGCCAUAACCUGACGCUGAGGUACGAAAGCGUGGGUAGCAAACAGG
rnacentral:rRNA from 1 species